AGUCGAGGGGUAUAGGUUUUCGGAUCUAGAGACCGGCGCACGGGUGCGUAACGCGUAUGCAAUCUACCUUUUGCAGAGGGAUAGCCCAGAGAAAUUUGGAUUAAUACCUCAUAGUAUGCAGAGUUGGCAUCAACACUGCAUUAAAGUCACAACGGCAAAAGAUGAGCAUGCGUCCCAUUAGCUAGCUGGUAAGGUAACGGCUUACCAAGGCUACGAUGGGUAGGGGUCCUGAGAGGGAGAUCCCCCACACUGGUACUGAGACACGGACCAGACUCCUACGGGAGGCAGCAGUGAGGAAUAUUGGACAAUGGGCGCAAGCCUGAUCCAGCCAUGCCGCGUGCAGGAUGACGGUCCUAUGGAUUGUAAACUGCUUUUGCACAGGAAGAAACAACGCUACGUGUAGCGUCUUGACGGUACUGUGAGAAUAAGGAUCGGCUAACUCCGUGCCAGCAGCCGCGGUAAUACGGAGGAUCCAAGCGUUAUCCGGAAUCAUUGGGUUUAAAGGG
rnacentral:rRNA from 1 species